UUCUCAGAUCAGCUUCCCCUCUGACUAUCAUGCUGCAUUUCAAUAGAAGAAAAGGUUAACCGACUGGCGCCUCCGGUUUUACCUUCCUGUAGGUGACACGCUAGGCCUUGGGGAAACUCUCCAGAAGGCACUGUUUUUACUUAAAACAAGAUCAAACCGGAAACCUUUUCACAUGUGAGUCCUAAAACUGUAAACCGGAACCCUUUCAUAUGUGAUUCCUAAAACUGUAAACCAAAACCUUUUCACAUGUGAGUCCUAAAACUAUGAACCUAAGAUUCUUCCAUGUGUAACAUCUAAAGUAUAAGCCUAUAUAAAGGCAUAACCUUCCUUUGUUAGAGGAGCUGAGUUUUUAACAGAUUACUGCCUGCUCUCCCGGCCAAAUAAGCUCCUCCCUCCUUUAUUCGGUGUUCAAGAAAUCUGUUUCCCGUGGCUGCUCCUGCUACAUUUUUGGUGCAUUGGCAGGGAAGGGAGUCUUGAAUAGCAGACGGCGGGAAAAAGUCUCUUACGUGGUCUGCCUAGCCCUGUGGAGCAUCCCUGCAGGGGGACUCCUGCUCCCUGGGGUGACGCAUCCUGAGAGCCCUCCGGGCAGGUAUUUACCCGGUGGAAAAGCCUCUCCAGAGCAGAGCAGGGAGGCCCUGCAGUGCAGAUCCACCCAGUGGCUGAACACCGAAGAGGAACAAGUAUUUGGGGAAGUCUGGACAACUGAAUUUGGAUGUCGUCAUCAUCAUCAUCGUCAUCGUCGUAUUUAUUGAGAACUUACUAUGUGCCCGGCACUGUUCUAACUGUGCUCUGUGCUCUUCUGUUCUUCUUGCAACAUUCCUGCAACAUAGGUUGUACUUGCGGAGCCGGGUCGAGACUUGUGAUUCCUUCUCCAGCGUUCUUUCUAGUCACCUUUCACUCAAAACAUUUUUUUAAAAAACAAAAAUGUGUAUACACACAAAAACACACACACUUUUUUCCAUAAGAGAAUCUGAGAAGCCUUACAAAAAUACAUAUAGUACAAGAGGAUAAACAGAUUAGGAGGCACAGACAAUGGAAAAAUGGUUAAGAGGGCAAAAGACAGGUGGGAAGGGUGUGGCUGAAAGGUGCUUUCUAAGGCCUGGCUCCCCAGGAAGCAG
rnacentral:lncRNA from 13 species